rnacentral:lncRNA from 1 species
UUUUAAUAGGAGGUCGGGUCGUCCACCAGGUAACUGGCAGAAUAAAGGAAACUCCAACAGUGUUUUAAUAGGAGGUCGGGUCGUCCACCAGGUAACUGGCAGAAUAAAGGAAACUCCAGGUCCACCAACCACCAGGUAACUGGCAGAAUAAAGGAAACUCCAACAGUGUUUUAAUAGGAGGUCGGGUCGUCCACCAGGUAACUGGCAGAAUAAAGGAAACUCCAGGUCCUCCACCAACCACCAGGUAACUGGCAGAAUAAAGGAAACUCCAACAGUGUUUUAAUAGGAGGUCGGGUCGUCCACCAGGUAACUGGCAGAAUAAAGGAAACUCCAACAGUGUUUUAAUAGGAGGUCGGGUCGUCCACCAGGUAACUGGCAGAAUAAAGGAAACUCCAACAGUGUUUUAAUAGGAGGUCGGGUCGUCCACCAGGUAACUGGCAGAAUAAAGGAAACUCCAGGUCCACCAACCACCAGGUAACUGGCAGAAUAAAGGAAACUCCAACAUAGUGUUUUAAUAGGAGGUCGGGUCGUCCACCAGGUAACUGGCAGAAUAAAGGAAACUCCAACAGUGUUUUAAUAAGAG